UCUCAGAAAAUGACGACCACAAACUUUCUAAACAAUUGUGCUCAGACUUUUUAAGAAUGUACUCGACUUUUAUCUUCAGAUGACCAGGAUUCCAUACACUCUGUUCUAACCAGGUUAGAGAUAAUGGCGACAAGCGUUCGCUGGAGCAGAGGGCGAAUGCUUCAAUCUGGAGUGGUGGAUGAGAUGCUUUUGCUCAUUAGCGAGUUAGUUCGGGAAGCCAACGAUCAACAACAACCUGUUGCUUCUGGUUUCACCGUAUCUCGAAUGGGAGGACAGACUGGAGAAAGGCCGAUCUACCAAAUCGCCCAAGAGCAGUUGCAGUUGUUGUUGUCCUUUAACUUCUCUGCUAGAACAGAUUACGGAGAUCUUGGGUGUCUCAAGAAUAACAGUGAACCGACGGUUAAGGUGACAGUGGAUUCCCCCUCAGACGCUGGCUUCUUACCCCAUUUUUGAACCUGCAGAGCGCAGAGGAAUUGCGCUACACCGAGGUCCACGCUCGUGCGCGCUCGGUCGUGGAGCGUGCCAUCGGUCUCCUGAAAUGCCGAUGGUGGCAGACUGCUGUACCACCCGGCAAAGGUGUA